UUGAAGUUCGUUGACAUGCAAAUAGUUUCAAUAAGUAAGAAAAUGAAUAGUACACAAAAAAGUCCUACACAUUACGGAAAACUUCUCUGUAGACCACAUUUGAUGCAACAUCGGUAUCAUCGUCGUCGUCAUUAAUCAAUAUUUUUAAACCACCCCUCGAAGUAACCCGUGAUAUUGCGACGUACAACUGUCCAUGUGAAAAAAUAGGAGACGGUAGGUAGACACCAACAUGUUCUAGCGACCGACCCUGACUCUUGUUAAUAGUCAUUGCAAAUGAGACAGAUAUCGGA
rnacentral:lncRNA from 1 species